CCUUUGUAAGUGUCUCCCACAAGCUGCUCCUGUGUUGUGUAACAAAAGGAAAAGGCAAAUAGUUGUUUAUGUUGCACACGGACAUAUUUAAGUGACGGACCAGAUGGAUCAGACUCGUCAACAAGCAUUAGAUGGGUCUCGUGUAUCAAAGGCACCAAGUUGAGGAAUUCGUUCUUCCCAGCACGGGCAAGGUAGGACGCCUCCAGUGUGGGCACCAUCGGGAAGUUUUCGUAAUCCGAGCAGGAAGGGCUAGACGCAUGGGAGCAGUUCUCUGGUGUUCUUGGAACCACAGCGGGAAUCUGACAGAGAUGGGCAGGUGGAGGAAGGUGUGAGGGUGGCGCUGCUGAAGCUGGUCACCGACAGGUCACGUCCGAUCGGAGAGAUGUCGGAGAGCUGAGAAGUCGCUGAUGCUGUUCACCAACUGGUUGUACUCGCUGUUGAAGGUGUGAGUCAGGAGGCGGAGGCACUGCGUCAGAGGAGAGUGACAACUGUCAACGUCUGGAUGAGACCUAUGUUAUUGAUUUACUAUGAACUUUUGCUCAAUAACAAUUGCGUGGCCCAUGUGGAAUUUCAUAGAUUCAUAGUUUGUGUUGAAACAAUGGAGGACUACUAUAUUGCACUACUUGGUCGCAACCAGCAGAGGACGUAAUCUAUUCAGACGAAACUAAUUUUCUGGAUAUAAAAGAUGAUUUUUUAUAACACUAUAAUAGAUGGAUAUCAGCAAAUAGAGUAACAAUUUUGGACUAUUUAUAUACAAUACUGCCACAGCAGUUGGAGGUAGACUAACUGACAUACUACUGUCACAUGUUGACAACUGGGAUGUUCCCAUCAGGUUAACCUGCCGAUUUCAAUACCGAACAUCUAUGAUUUAGAUCAGCGGUGUCAAACUCAAAUACAGAUUGGGCCAAAAUUUAAAACGCAACAAAGCCGCGAGCUGAGGUUGAACAAAUUAACCUUUUAAUAGGGACCCAAACAAGUUUUGCAUUGAAUAUUGAACAAGCAAGGCUUAUAUAACUUUAUAGUGACAUGCACAAUCGAGUUUCAAAUAAUAAUAAUCCAAAAAUAUCAAUGGCAUAUCAAAAUUUAAAUAAAAAUUGAAUGUCUCUUUUCGGCGGCGGGGUUGAAGUGGACGGGGUUUGGUGAUAGCGGGGGUUGUAUAUUGUAGUGUCCCGGAAGAGUUAGUGCUGCAAGGAGUUCUGGGUAUUUGUUCUGUUGUGUUUAUGUUGUGUUACGGUGCGGAUGUUCUCCCGAAACGUGUUUGUCAUUCUUGUUUGGUGUGGGUUCACAGUGUGGCGCAUAUUUGUAACAGUGUUAAAGUUGUUUAUACGGCCACCCUCAGUGUGACCCGUAUGGCUGUUGACCAACUAUGCCUUGCAUUCACUUGAGUAAGUGUAUAAGCCGCAUAUAUUAUGUGACAGGGACGGCACGCUGUUUGUAUGGAGGAAAAGUGGACGUGGCGACAGGUUGUAGAGAACACCAAAGGCAAUGCCUUUAAGGGCCACCCCCAAUAUUGUUGUCCGGGAUGAAAUUUGGGAGGGGCACUGUACUUUGGGCGUCUUCCGGGAAAAUCGGGAGGGUUGGCAAGUAAGAGUAUUAGCGGUGAAUGCGGUGUUACAGCAGCGGGCCAGCUCUAAUGUUAAUUUGAUAUUGCCUCAAGGGCCAAAUUAAAUUACACGGCGGGCCAGAGUUUGACACCCAUGAUUUAGAUCAUUUUUGAAGCAAUGCAUGAUGAGAAUCCGGAUGUUGUGUGUCAGUGUAUUAGCCUGCCGGAUGGAAUAAACACGCUGUGAAAUA